rnacentral:snoRNA from 1 species
GAGUCUCUUGCCUCGCUCGGCCUUCUGCGUCUAUCAGAAGAUCUAGAGCUGGAUGCCUGUAUACUUAGCCAUAAGUGACAGGUAUGAGACGAGAAGAAACCGACGAUCUUUGAGUACGAUUUAGUCCGAACACCACGGAUUCGAUCGUAAUUAAUCCGUCGAGACAUAA